AUUGAACGCUGGCGGCAGGCCUAACACAUGCAAGUCGAACGUGUGGCGGACGGGUGAGUAAUGUCUGGGAAACUGCCCGAUGGAGGGGGAUAACUACUGGAAACGGUAGCUAAUACUGCCUACCAUCGGAUGUGCCCCGAUGGGGUUGGCUUGUAGGUGAGGUAACGGCUCACCUGGGCGACGAUCCCUAGCUGGUCUGAGAGGAUGACCAGCAAAAUUGGAACUGAGAAACGGUCAGGACUCCUCCGGGAGGAAGCAGGGGGGAAUAGUGGACAAUGGGCGCAAGCCUGAUCCAGCCAUACCGCGUGGGUGAAGAAGGCCUUCGGGUUGUAAAGCCCUUUUGUUGGGAAAGCGGUACCCAAAGAAUAAGCACCGGCUAACUUCGUGCCAGCAGCCGCGGUAAUUC
rnacentral:rRNA from 1 species